rnacentral:lncRNA from 1 species
UACCAUGAUCAACAACAACGUUGGACACUGAGGCGAAAAGGCGUCAACGAAAAUUAACCACGAGCCUGACUCGUGAUGUCUAUAUUGGGCCCUAUCUACGAACCACGUCUCUCACCCGUGAUAAUAUUGUUUGAUCCGAUCUUCUACGAGUCUCACACCAUAUUGCAGGCGAAGAGAUCCUGAAAGCACAGUCGUGUAACAUUUAAUCGUUACCUUGGACUUUAAGAAGCUCCCCGAUUUGUCGUAGCCAGGCGAUCGAUCACUCAGCGGCAACUCGUUGUUUCGCAAGCCGAGCCAGAUGAUCGCGGGUGUAAUUACGCCGAUCGGACAGCGUUCCUCGAGUUACUUUCACACCGCGAGGGCAUUCAAUCGGCGGCCCAUCGCCGGUGUAUCACGCAUCGAACGACGCCGGGUGACAAUGGAGAGGACACGCUCGAUGUCGACGAGUACCCACACUUUCAGCUGACACUGUACCUCGACGAUUCCUCCUAUCCGUAUCUUGGCGUUAUAAAAUAACUGAGACGUAUAGCGAACAGGAACCCGCUAUCAACCAUACUACGCGAUGUAUCCACCUACCGACAUCCUCUGUCGUCGUGUCGGCAUCUUUUUGAAGAUUAUCGCCCUCACGAAAGUCCAUAAAUGCUGGCAGUAAACGCUGCA